AUCCGUAUACGUUAUGCGGGUUUUGGCUUAUCAAAUUUGUUCGUCUGCCACUAAACAUGUACUAAAUGCUCUCCGUAUCGAUUGUCGACGACGACGUCCUUUAUUAUGCAAACUGUGCUGUAGUUAUCGCCUAACAAUAUGCUUAAACUGAGUCGAGAUAAUAAUAUACAGGGUGCCCCAUAGAAAUCUGUCAAUAUUGCAGUAACAUGUUUGUUCGGUUCGAUG